AUACAAUAUCACUCCGCCCGGGUACUACGAACAAAAGUUUAAAACCCAAAGGACUUGGCGGUGCUUAAUAUCCACCUAGAGGAGCCUGUUCUAUAACCGAUACUCCCCGUUAAACCUCACCCUUCCUUGUUCUUUCCCGCCUAUAUACCGCCAUCGUCAGUCCACCCUGUGAAGGACCCGUAGUUGACAGAAUCGUAACUUAAGCCAAAACGUUAGGUCGAGGUGUAGCGUACGGAAGGGGAAGAAAUGGGCUACAUUUGCUACAACAGCACAUACGAAUUCUAGUUUUGAAACAAACAGAUGAAGGAGGAUUUAGCAGUAAGCAGGAAAUAGAGAGUUCUGCUGAAGACGGCACUUAAGCGCGCACACACCGCCCGUC
rnacentral:rRNA from 1 species